rnacentral:rRNA from 1 species
UACGAAGGGGGCUAGCGUUGCUCGGAAUCACUGGGCGUAAAGCGCACGUAGGCGGAUCGAUCAGUCAGGGGUGAAAUCCCAGGGCUCAACCCUGGAACUGCCUUUGAUACUGUCGAUCUGGAGUAUGGAAGAGGUGAGUGGAAUUCCGAGUGUAGAGGUGAAAUUCGUAGAUAUUCGGAAGAACACCAGUGGCGAAGGCGGCUCACUGGACCGGUAUUGACGCUGAGGUGCGAAAGCGUGGGGAGCAAACAGGG